rnacentral:rRNA from 1 species
AAUACAUGCAAGUCGAACGAUCCCUUCGGGGAUAGUGGCGCACGGGUGCGUAACGCGUGGGAAUCUGCCCUUGGGUUCGGAAUAACGUCGGGAAACUGACGCUAAUACCGGAUGAUGACGUAAGUCCAAAGAUUUAUCGCCCAGGGAUGAGCCCGCGUAGGAUUAGCUAGUUGGUGAGGUAAAGGCUCACCAAGGCGACGAUCCUUAGCUGGUCUGAGAGGAUCAUCAGCCACACUGGGACUGAGACACGCCCAGACUCCUACGGAG